GACGAACGCUGACGGUGUGCUUUAGACAUGCAAGUCGAACGAGAAAGCCCUUCGGGUUAGUAAAGUGGCGAACGGGUGAGUAACACGUGGGUGACCUGCCCUCAGCUCUGGGAUAAGCCUGGGAAACCGGGUCUAAUACCGGAUAUGACCUCAUGACGCAUGUUGUGGGGUGGAAAGCCUUGUGCGGCUGAGGAUGGGCCCGCGGCCUAUCAGCUUGUUGGUGGGGUGAUGGCCACCAAGGCGACGACGGGUAGCCGGCCUGAGAGGGCGACCGGCCACACUGGGACUGAGAC
rnacentral:rRNA from 1 species